AACUUUUGCCUUUAAUAGAGUAGGAUUUGUCAAUGGUGAAGAUUCCACUGCUUCAUUUUCUCUCUAAAAUAUUACUAAAAUAUUUGAGAGAGACAAAGUGCCAAAGAGCGAGAGAGGAAGCAGAGAAGUGGAGGGAAGCGAAUCUCUGGUUAAUAUAAGAUAGAGAGAGAAAGAGUGCUAUUUAGAGGGAGAAAAUUGUUGAUUGAAAGAGGAAAUUUCCUGUUCUUGGGCUGCUGAAGAAGGUCAUGGCGGAUCUGAAGGUCUUCCCUCUCUCUGAGGUUUCUCUUCACUCCUCCAAGAAAGAUUGCUGGAUAAUAGUAAGAGGAAAGGUUUAUGAUGUCACUGGAUUCUUGGAGGAGCACCCAGGAGGAGAAGAUGUUUUGAUAGAAGCUUCAGGGCGAGAUGCAACUAAGGAAUUCAACGAGGUCGGCCACAGCUCAACAGCCAUGGCCAUGAUGGACGGCUACGAAAUCGGCAUUGUAGAGGGAUUUAAGCUGGAAAAUCCCCCUGGAAAAGCGAAAAGUUCCGGUGAUCACAGUGGGAUUUCAUAUAGCCAGAAGGCAAGCACAAGCCUGGUAAAGGAAGAGGGGCCAUCAGGUCUGGCCAGCUUCAUGCAGUUUUUGCUUCCUCUUGUUAUUCUUGGUGUUGCCGUUGCUGCUUGGUAUUUCCUCAACAGUGAGAAGCCCAAGUCCUCUUAGACUUGGCUAAUGGUGAGAGAUGUGUGGCCUCUCUCUCCUCUUCUGAAGUGAUGUUAUUUUUCUUUUUCUCUCUCCUCCCAAGUCCUCUUAGACUUGGCUAAUGGUGCUUAAGAGAGGAAGAGAGAUGCAGGAAGAGGGUUAUAAAUAAAAAGUCCAGUAUCUAGAGAUGUGUGUACAUGAGAGAGAGACAGGGUUAUCCAAGAUCAUUGCCCAUUUAAUUAAGGUUCCAGUAAGUAUUACUGUAGUAAAAUACUUGUGAGUUUUUGACAAAGAUGUGUUAAGUUUACAUUAUCCAAUUGAAAUGAACGGUGUAAAUUAUUGCAGAUUUAUUUAUACGAAUAUGGUUGUGUGUUGUUGGGAGAGA